rnacentral:rRNA from 1 species
AUUGAACGCUGGCGGCAUGCCUUACACAUGCAAGUCGAACGGCAGCACGGGGGCAACCCUGGUGGCGAGUGGCGAACGGGUGAGUAACAUAUCGGAACAUACCCUAGAGUGGGGGAUAACGUAGCGAAAGUUACGCUAAUACCGCAUACGAUCUAAGGAUGAAAGUGGGGGAUCUUCGGACCUCAUGCUCAUGGAGUGGCCGAUAUCUGAUUAGCUAGUUGGUGAGGUAAAGGCUCACCAAGGCGACGAUCAGUAGCUGGUUUGAGAGAACGACCAGCCACACUGGAACUGAGACACGGUCCAGACUCCUACGGGAGGCAGCAGUGGGGGAUUUUGGACAAUGGGGGCAACCCUGAUCCAGCAAUGCCGCGUGAGUGAAGAAGGCCU